GAUGAGCGCUAGCGGCAGGCUUAAUACAUGCAAGUCGUGGGGCAGCAUGAUGUAGCAAUACAUUGAUGGCGACCGGCAAACGGGUGCGGAACACGUACACAACCUUCCUUUUAGUGGGGAAUAGCCCAGAGAAAUUUGGAUUAAUACCCCAUAACAUCUAGAGAUGGCAUCAUCUUAAUAUUAAAGCUUCGGCGCUAGAAGAUGGGUGUGCGGCUGAUUAGGUAGUUGGCGGGGUAACGGCCCACCAAGCCUACGAUCAGUAGCUGAUGUGAGAGCAUGAUCAGCCAAACGGGAACUGAGACACGGGCCAGACUCCUACGGGAGGCAGCAGAAAGGAAAAUUGGAAAAUGGACGAAAGUCUAAUCCAGCCAUGCCGCGUGAAGGAUUAAGGUCCUCUAGAUUGUAAACUUCUUUUAUUUGGGACGAAAAAAGAUCAUUCUUGAUCACUUGACGGUACAAGAUGAAUAAGCACCGGCUAACUCCGUGCCAGCCGCCGCAGUAACAC
rnacentral:rRNA from 1 species